rnacentral:rRNA from 1 species
CAGUAGCCACGGUAGUACGAAGGGUGCAAGCGUUAAUCGGAAUUACUGGGCGUAGAGCGCGCGUAGGUGGUUUGUUAAGUUGGAUGUGAAAUCCCCGGGCUCAACCUGGGAACUGCAUUCAAAACUGACUGACUAGAGUAUGGUAGAGGGUGGUGGAAUUUCCUGUGUAGCGGUGAAAUGCGUAGAUAUAGGAAGGAACACCAGUGGCGAAGGCGACCACCUGGACUAAUACUGACACUGAGGUGCGAAAGCGUGGGGAGCAAACAGGAUUAGAUACCCCAGUAGUCCCUGUCUCUUAUAC